ACUCUGGGAAGGCAACCUAGGAAGGGUGGGGCCCUGGGGCCUUUUGAGGAGCUAAGUGGCCAAGGAGAGUGCUUUGUGAGUCUCUUGUUGGAAGGACUGUCUUUAAAUUAAAGCAAUUAGAGUUACUUUAUAAGAUUUACCCAAAUAUAAGAGCUGAAGAGAAUAAUUCAAAUUGAUCAGAAGAAAAUACUCAAUUACUGACAAAUGUCAAUUACAUCAAUAGCCUAGGCUGCUCUUGAACUCCUGGGCUCAAACGAUCCUCCCCUGUCGGCCUCCCAAAGUGCUGGGAUUACAAGCUUGAACCACCAUGCCCAGCCUCAGAAAUUUUUUAAAUGACAGCUCAUACAGUUUUCUUUUAUAAAGGAGGAGAAAAUGUGUAAUUGUAAGCAGCUGAACUAAAAUAUCUCUGUGACAUUUUGCUGGUGACUCCAGCCCUGUGAGAUCUGAGUGGCUCAGGAAUCAAAUUCUCCCACAAACCUGAGGAAGCCUUUUAUUCUUAAUGCCAACAGGAUGCCCCAUGCCCAGAAUGUCAAAUCUGAACACCAAUGGAAUGCAUUUUAUAAACAAAUUGAAAAAGGACAAUCUUUAACAGAAUUGUUGUUCUCUAGGCAGAUUAGUUGUGCUUCAAAUACAAAAUGAAAUAUUAGAGAACAAAAUUAUUUUUAAACAGCUAAUACUAGUAGAAAAUAAAAGGCUGAAAAGUGCU
rnacentral:lncRNA from 1 species